rnacentral:rRNA from 1 species
AGUGAACGCUGGCGGUAGGCCUAACACAUGCAAGUCGAACGGCAGCACAGUAAGAGCUUGCUCUUACGGGUGGCGAGUGGCGGACGGGUGAGGAAUACAUCGGAAUCUACUUUUUCGUGGGGGAUAACGUAGGGAAACUUACGCUAAUACCGCAUACGACCUACGGGUGAAAGCAGGGGAUCUUCGGACCUUGCGCGAUUGAAUGAGCCGAUGUCGGAUUAGCUAGUUGGCGGGGUAAAGGCCCACCAAGGCGACGAUCCGUAGCUGGUCUGAGAGGAUGAUCAGCAACACUGGAACUGAGACACGGUCCAGACUCAUACGGGAGGCAGCAGUGGGGAAUAUGGGACAAUGGGCGAAAGCCUGAUCCAGCCAUAGCGAGUGGGUGAAGAAGGCCUUAGGGUUGUAAAGCCCUUUUGUUGGGAAAGAAAAGCAGCAGGUUAAUACCACGCUGUUAUGACGGUACCAAAAGAAUAAGCACCGGCUAACUUCGUG